GGAUAACCAAACGAAAGUUUGGCUAAUACCGCGUAAGCUCCAAGGAGGAAAGUAGGGGACCUAAAUAAGGCCUUACGCUAUUUGAUCGGCCGAUGUCGGAUUAGCUAGUUGGUGGGGUAAUGGCUCACCAAGGCAAUGAUCCGUAGCGGGUCUGAGAGGACGAUCCGCCACACUGGGACUGAGACACGGCCCAG
rnacentral:rRNA from 1 species